rnacentral:rRNA from 1 species
UAAAAACCCCGACUUCGGAAGGGGUGUAUUUAUUGGAUACAAAACCAAUGCCCUUCGGGGCUCUUUGGUGAUUCAUGAUAACUAUACGAAUCGCACGGCCUUGCGCCGGCGAUGGUUCAUUCAAAUUUCUUCCCUAUCAACUUUCGAUGUUUGGGUAUUGGCCAAACAUGGUUGCAACGGGUAACGGAGGGUUAGGGCUCGACCCCGGAGAAGGAGCCUGAGAAACGGCUACUACAUCCAAGGAAGGCAGCAGGCGCGCAAAUUACCCAAUCCCGACUCGGGGAGGUAGUGACAAUAAAUACUGAUACAGGGCCCUUUCGGGCCUUGUAAUUGGAAUGAGUACAAUUUAAAUCCCUUAACGAGGAACAAUUGGAGGGCAAGUCUGGUGCCAGCAGCCGCGGUAAUUCCAGCUCCAAUAGCGUAUAUUAAAGUUGUUGUGGUUAAAAAGCUCGUAGUUGAACCUUGGGCCUGGCUGGCCGGUCCGCCUCACCGCGUGUACUGGUCCGGCCGGGCCUUUCCCUCUGUGGAACCUCAUGCCCUUCACUGGGUGUGACGGGGAAACAGGACUUUUACUUU